rnacentral:rRNA from 1 species
UACGGAGGACCCAAGCGUUAUCCGGAUUUAUUGGGUUUAAAGGGUGCGUAGGUGGCAGUGUAAGUCUGCUGUCAAAGAAUGAGGCUUAACCUCAUCAAGGCAGUGGAAACUACACAGCUAGAGUACGGUCGGGGUAGAAGGAAUUCCUGGUGUAGCGGUGAAAUGCGUAGAGAUCAGGAAGAACACCGGUGGCGAAAGCGUUCUGCUAGACCUGUACUGACACUGAGGAGCGAAAGCGUGGGGAGCGAACCGG